rnacentral:rRNA from 1 species
UCGCUCCCGUUUCACAACCCAUUUCUAUUGGACCGGCGGUGUUCACUUGAUUGUGACCUGUCCGAUCAGCCAUACGUUUCUUGGACAUUACUCUAUUAUAACAAACAGUUUACACAACUGGUAGCAUUGGAUCCCUUGGCACGCCAUUCGAUGAAGAACGUUGCAAACUGCGAUAAGUGAUGUGAAAUGCGAGUCCAAAACUUAUACGUGAAUCAUCGAAUCUUUGAACGCAUUGCAUCGAGCUUUGCCCAAGCACGAUAUGCCCCAUUGAGCGUCCUUAAGUCUUUGGGAAUUUAUUUCCAAGUCCGGGCUUCAUGGCUUCACAGUCACGCUGCCUUAGAUGCAUUAUGCGUCGCACUACGGUUGCGCUCCUUGUUGUACACUUCAAGGUGCAUCCUAAUGCAUUAUCGCACUACGCUAAUCACCCUCGGUGAAAAGCAAACCCGUGUUCAGUCCUCGGACAGUUCACCUCUACUUGACUUAACCUCACGGGGGCAAGACGACCCGCUAGACUUAAGCAUAUCAAUAAGUUAACCUCACGGGGGCAAGACGACCCGCUAGACUUAAGCAUAUCAAUAAG